rnacentral:lncRNA from 1 species
GAGGGGCCUGCUGAUAGGCUGCGAAGGCGAUAGGCGUCUCAGACUUGAAGACGCCUCUCCAGCAGAACUCCCUCAUUGGUCGGCAAGAGAAAACAAAGCUGGGCUCUGAUUGGUGACAGCUCUGUAGCUCCUCCUCAUACCCGCAGUCCCCGCAAGUUCCACCCCUGCCCGCCCGGUUCGCUCGCCCUUGGUUCCCACUCCCAGGUGGCUGCAGACUGGAGUGUGUUUCAUGGACGAGCAACCUCCCUGAGGAGAACCCCGGAUACGCAGGUUCAUUCGCCAGAUGCGAGUUUUCUUAAGCCGCUGCGAUUCUCUGAUUUCAGUAUGAACUUGGUGAAUAACGUAAUCUUUAACUUCCUUUGGAUUCAGACAAGUCUCCUAGGUUUAAAAAUGCUGCAUAAGAUUGAGAGGGAUAUUGUUAUGCACGAAAAAAGACAUAAGGUGUUUUCACCUUUGGCGACACUGUAGGUGACUUUUUCUUAUUACCUUUUUGUGUUCCAUAUUGAACAUGUACUACAUGAUUAGAAAAAAAAAUUCUUAAAUAGAAAAAUGAGUAGGGUGCGGAGAAUGGUAAAGACAAACUUUAAGGAAAUCCAGAGAACUGAUUCUUUCACAAUAGAAGAAAAUACAGUAAACAUGCUUAAUAUCUGAGGGCUACCCCGAAAAAACAUGAACUGGUAUCAGCGCCCUUCAGCUCUCUUAAAGAACUUUACAUAUGUGACCGAGGUGCCCCCAUACUCCUUCCUAUCAUGUAACCAACACAUAAUGUGGACAGCACUACACUGCAAACAGAAUUACAGGAAGACUCUUAUAGGAAGAAUUAGAAUCCAAAGUACACAAUCAAUAAAGCUUUAGAAAAAGGGGUAGUAAAAAGCAGAAGACAAAAAAAAAUCAGGUAAUAUAAAUUGGAAAGCUCAGCUGAUGGAGGGAAUCAUCAGAAAAAAAAUAAUGUGACAACACUUCAAGAUGUGAUAGAGACUUUGAAUGGAAAGCUGAAGGGAGAGGAAGGGGAUUGAGAUAAGGAUCAAUGACCUGCAGUUAAUAUGAGCUCUCAGAACACAUCCCCCAGAACUGGUGUCAGCCUAGAAGGCAAGAAGCAUUUCUCACCUAGGGACCACUCUCACUUAACUCUCUCUAGCUGCCUUAACAUUCUGUUUGUUCUUGUCAUUCUCGCAAAGUUCUAAAACAGGCUAUUUGAAAUUAAGCACUUCCCCCCAGCAACUCCGUGAAUUACGUAAUAGUGAAAAAUGGAGAUAGACAAAAAGCAAACCUGAGGAAGGAAAGGAAUGUUAAGAGUCACCAGUAAAAUGAGCAUUCAUUCAUUAAGCCAAUCAUCAGGAAUGGAUCUAGGAAGAACCUACUGUUUACUAGAAAUAGGUUAGAUCUGUGGAUAUAACAAUGAAUAAGACAAGACUGGUGGAUCUAUAGAGAAACUAUUACUGCACAGGUGAUGGGGAAAUCAAGAGUACUAUGGGGCCAAGGAGACUGUCCUGCAGCAAAUGAGGAAUAAGCUGAAACAUCAGUAGGAGCCAUCCCAGAGAAAAGGGACAGGGUUCUAGAUCCAGAGAACAACAGAAGAGCAUUCAGCGCCUGCAAGGGAGCAGGGGAUCUAAUGCAAAGCCAUUGCAUAACCAGUCAACUUUCCCCACAUCACAAGAUUGCCUAGCCUGGAUGGCCCCAGAAUGUUGAAACAAAUGUCUAAUUAGUAACGACAUUCUGAAUGCUUGGGAGCUGAGCAAAAUAUGAGGAGAAGCAACCUGAUUUUUGUUUCAUAUUAUCAUCUCCUUUAUUCCAGCAACAAAAGACACUGAAAAUAGUAAAUGCCCACUUUCAACCAUGACAGCCCUUUUAGGAUAGUAACGGUGAGCAGUAUUAAUCCUAUUUGACCAGAACUAGGGCAGAAUUGAAGCCCCUGGAGUAGAGAUCUGUUCUAUUAGCCCCAGCCUUUCCGCCUGCUUCUUGGGAUGGCUAUCUUUACUUUAUCAGUUGAGCCUCCAGCAUUAGCAGAUACCUAUAAGGGAAGAGAUCCAGCCCUCACUAUGGAGGGCCAGAAAGAGAAAGCACCAGACAUUAGGAAAUGUCAAAGUAUCUCAGUACAUCCAGCUGAUUAGUGACAGAUAAGUCAAAAUUUGCAGCAACUAAAUAAAUCAAAAAGUAGAUUUUAAAA